UCACUCAGGUGGAAUGAGCUCCCUGGCCU
rnacentral:piRNA from 1 species